GCAGGAUCUGAGCCGUGGCGAUGAUGACGGCUGUACUCUCUGAUUA
rnacentral:snoRNA from 1 species